UUGGCCUACGGGGCGCAGCAGUGAGGAAUAUUGGUCAAUGGUCGGGAGACUGAACCAGCCAAGCCGCGUGAGGGAUGAAGGUACAGAGUAUCGUAAACCUCUUUUGUCAGGGAACAAAGGCGGGGACGCGUCCCCGGAUGAGUGUACCUGAAGAAAAAGCAUCGGCUAACUCCGUGCCAGCAGCCGCGGUAAUACGGAGGAUGCGAGCGUUAUCCGGAUUUAUUGGGGUUAAAGGGGGCGCAGGCGGUCUGUUAAGUGAGCGGUCAAAGCGCGGGGCCC
rnacentral:rRNA from 1 species